rnacentral:rRNA from 1 species
AUAUCAAUAAGCGGAGGAAAAGAAACCAACAGGGAUUGCCUCAGUAACGGCGAGUGAAGCGGCAUCAGCUCAGAUUUGAAAUCCGGUCGCAAGGCCCGAGUUGUAAUCUGCAGAGGAACGUUCGGCAGAGGCGCCGGUCCAAGUCUCCUGGAACGGAGCGUCGCAGAGGGUGAGAGCCCCGUACGCGGCCGGCAGCCAACGCCGUGUGAACGUCCUUCGACGAGUCGAGUUGUUUGGGAAUGCAGCUCAAAGCGGGUGGUAAAUUCCAUCUAAGGCUAAAUACCGGCCAGAGACCGAUAGCGCACAAGUAGAGUGAUCGAAAGAUGAAAAGCACUUUGGAAAGAGAGUUAAACAGUAC